CUUAUUAAGUGUCUUACGUUCAUUAUGAAGUCAAAAAUUUGUUCAUUACCCUAUAAUAAACACUUUUCCGAUUGUAUGAACGAAAUCCCCACAACAUAAGAGAAACACUUAUACACUUUAAUGAACGGUAAAGGGAAUACUUACAAUUCGUUUUGAAAUUUGUUAUUUCAUGGUUUAUGCUCAUCUAUACAAAGAAUCCUCAAUGGUAUGCAUUACAAUUGUAUAAGAAAUGAAAUACGACAAAAAAAAUUGAUGUUUUGAAACCCCAAACACUAGUUCCUCGGUAUUUCCUCGGAAUAUUCCGAGGAAAUUCCGAGGAACAAUAUAAAUUAAUAGAAAUACAUGCACA
rnacentral:lncRNA from 1 species